rnacentral:lncRNA from 1 species
UUUUUUUUUUUCUUUCUUUCUCUCCCUUAUUUCCUUCUUCCUUUCCUUUCUCUCUCCCCGUCGACUUCUUCUUUCUUUUUCUUUUUUUUUCUUUUUUUUUUCUUCUCUUCCUCUCCUUUCCUUUCUCUCUCCCCGCUGGCUUCUUCUUUCUUUUUCCUCUUUCUUUCUCCUUCUCUUUCUCUCUUUUCUCCCUGCCGGCGUCACACCCUUCUCCUCUUCUCUCUUCCUCUUCUCUCUAUCGUCUUCUUCCUUUUUUUUUUUGCUCUAUUUUUUGUGUUUGAUUGUGGUUCUUCGGCUGCUAGAGACUUUUUGGUUUUUUGAAAACGUUUUUUUAUAUUGUUUUUUGGCUUUUUUUGGUUCUUCCUCUCUGAUUUUUUUUUAUUUUCCCACUUCCCCCGUUUUGCAGGUUGUCCAUCUUUUGAGGUCAGGUUGUCCAAAAAUUUGGACAACUCGGUAAUGGGGUUCUACACCAAAAAGUUGAUAGUCAAAACCCCCAUCAUUUAAGGUGGUUCCUUCUCUUUUUCUUUUUUAAUUAUUUUAUUUUAUACUUUAUUUUAUUAUAAUUUUUUAUUUUUUUGAGGUAUCUACUUAUGAUAGAUUAUUAGAUUGGACGGUUAAGAUAUAAUAUGUUAUGAGAAGCUUAGAUUUAUAUUAAAAUUUAAUAGAUUUGAAUUAGUAGAUUCACUUUUAUUUUUUUGUAAAUUUGAUAGGCUUAACAUAUUAGUUUAAAAUUUAUUUAUUGGGUUUAACUAGCAAUAUGGUAACCAUAAUAACUCUAAUUUUGCCAAACAGUAUGAAAAAUAAAACUAAUUAUUAAAUUAAAAAUUAUUUUGAGAGCUAUUAAAAAUAAAUAUAAUAAAUAAAUAUGUAUUGAAAAAAUAUAAUUAUUUCAUUCUAUCAAUUUGUAUGUAUAAUCUUAUUACUUAAAAUUUGUAACAUACGUACUAAAAUGUAUUGGUUAUUUUGAAUAAAAAAUAAUAUAUUGAUGAAAUUUUAAGUCACAAUACAAUACUGCAACGUAUAUUUAAAAAUUAUAUAAUAAUUUAUUUAUUUUUAAAAAUUAAAAUCAUAAAAAAUAAUAUCUAGAUAAUAGAAAAAAAAACAUGAAAAGUAGAAAAUAAAAUCCAUAUAUAAUAUAAUAAAAGAAAAAAAAUAUGAUUGUUGGUACGUUAAAAUUUGUGAAAGAAAAUUUAUAAAGAUUUAAAAUAUAUGAGAAGAACUAGGUUUCCCAGGUGAACGCUGCAUCAGGAGCAGGGAUAUCAUUCCGCAGUAGGGCAGUACCAGUAUACGUUUGUGAUUUAAGCUUUGAACCACUUUAAACUGAAAGGCUCUGACAGCAUAUCAAGAACCACCCGUUUUGGAUUGAGAAAUAAGGAUCCAAAAAUAGUUACCAUACAUUUAACAACUAUUAUCACAUCGCUGAUAAUUAAAUGCUAUAGUACAUUGAAUACCGUUACUGAAGACUAUUUAACAUUUUACCAUCUUGGACACUAAUAGCUGCACACUCCAGAAUAAGCUAUACUAACCUAGAAGCAGCUAGUCUUAUUAAGAACUUUAGGCACCACUCUGUAGUGAAUGAAGCAUUACUUGAAUUCCAUGUUGUGGCUGAAGCUUAAGUAUAGUAAAUGGAGAGUGAACAUAGGCUGGGGAGAGAGUAAAGGUGUAACGUUGUAGAAUCAUUGAGAGAGCAGUCUUUGUUUCGGUGGUUGCAAAGCUCAUACCCACGCAAGAUCGAGGUCCCAAUGAAAAAGGAAUGAAUGCAGCCGCAUUGUAUUUGGUAGCUUUGGCAGUCCCUUCUGCGAGCUUAUCUGGUUUGAAAAGAUUAAAUAGAUUGAUUAUAUUAUCAAUUGAAAAAAAAAUAUUAGAAAAAUUUGAUUAUAAAAAUUUAAUUAAAAAUUUUGCAUAUCAAAAAGUUAGAAGAAUAAAAUUUUAAUAAUUUUUUUUAAUUUCAAUAAAAAAACCUCAUUUGAUUAUUUUGCUUUAAAUUUUUGAACUUAUUGAGCCGCCUUUGGCCAUAUCAUUUUCAUAAUUCGUCAAGUUACUCUAUCAAGAUACAUUCCCAAUCCCCUAUGCUUUACAUCAUUUCUUUCAACCCAAAGAAACUAAGAAAUUACAUAUUAAAUGUAGCUGGUUUUGUCCAUACUGGUUAUCAGCGGAGUAAAGGGUUUUAAGGAAAAAUACCAAUUUAUCAUUAUAAGGUGAUUCAAUACUGAAUUGUGUCAGCUCAUGGAAUAUGACGGAAAAUAAGGCUAUGGCUUUUGUCAGCUCAUGAAGGAGUAAUAGCUACAUUGGCUGUAUCACCUGUGAAAAGGGCUGGUUUCUUCUGCCAGGCAUGAUCACAAGUUUGUCAAAUUGUGGAAGUGAUACGAUUGCUAGCAGAAUUCCCAAGUUUUAAUCCACAACAAUUGUUGGUUUGUAGCUGUUCAGCUUGCUUAAAGGUGUCCAUUUUGUGGUUUGUCCCAAUGCUCAAAGAUUUUUAUUCACCAUGCCAUGAGGUUAUUUGGUUCAUGAUCUUCACAAAAUGACUACAGGAAUUUAGAAGCUGAGAAGCCUUAGAUUGUUUACUAGGAGCGGAGCUGGGAUAUACCAGGGUUUAGUACUCAAAAGAAGAUAAUCUUGUUUCUUUGUUGCCAAUACAUGAAACCCCUAAUACUUGUAUCAUCAGAAAUGGCCGGUAAAUACAGUUAAAUGGAAGAAAAUAAUCAGAAACUGGUUAUCAUUAGUUUGUAAGAUUUCUUAAAAAAAACUGUACAAAUUUCCAGAAAUCAAAAGAGCAAAAUGAUGAACAAAAACAGAGUUGAGAGAAGAAACAAGUCUGUAUAUGGAUCAAAAUUGAUGAAAUAACGGCUGCUCAGAUGAAAGAGAAAGAAGGCCGUUGGACUACACAAACAAAGAGAGAACGAAAACGACGCGAUUGAAGGAAAGAAACAAACAUUGAACAAACGACACAACAAGUCGUCGUAUGCUCCUGUAAACAGAACAGACAAGAAACGACAGCCAAGGACACCGUUUAAGCACCCCCAACAAGCAAAUCAUAAAACGACACAGGUGACCCCCGUUUCACAAACUCAAAUCGAUGAAGGCAUAUGCGGCACCACUUUGCACAGCCCUGAACCCUUCUUCAACUUAUUUAAAUUCCAACUGCUUCCCGCCAUUAGUUAUUUAUAAUUAGUUAUUAUUUAUAAGUUUUUGCCAGUUCUGAUCAGGCGGGCUGGUCAAAAUUGUAAAGUAGUUGUAAAUACUUGCAAAGAUACCAUUGUUAGAGGUCUGGUUAUAUGUCAUGGCGCAUAUUUGAGAAUGGAGUUCAUGCUGAUUAAUCGUGUGCAAACUGUGAUGUCCACAUUUAUUGGAUUUUGAGAGGGCUAUGAACUCGACUGAAUGGCUUCUGUGUUCAGUAUAUAAACUGAAACAGGGGACUGUACUCCCCAACAAACUUGCUGGAAAUAAUUUUAUAGUUGCUUAACAGGGGAGAUCACCGUGAAAGCCUGUGCUGUUUAUACCAUUUAGUUUAGUUUUAGUAUGUGGUAAUCUUGAUGCUCCUUCUGCCUAAUGAGCAAGCCAGAGCUGGUUCCCGGGUUCACCUAGUCCUGUACUGUGUAUAAAGAGAAUUUUGAAUAUAAAUCAAUAGUAUGCCAUAAUUUAGUAUGAUUUCUUACCAUUUUAUUUAAUUUUUUCAGGGUAAAUUUAUAACUAAUGUCAAUCUUUACCAAUAAUGGAGCCAAGGUUUAUGCUCAAUCUGGGUAAAGUUAUUUCUCCUUCUGCAAGUCUCUCUGGUUUGAAAACAUGAACAUCUUCAACCAUAUCUCAGGGUCAUGGUGAAGUGCUGGAGUUGAAAUGAACAAUUCAGUAUUUUUCUUCUUGGAGAAUUUUGUUACAGAAAAAAAGAUGCCUGGACAAUCAUACGGAUCUCUAAUCAAGAUCUACAACAAUAUCAGAAUAUAAGAGGAAAUAGUACUCAGAGGAGCACCAUCUUCAUACUUGAUUGCUUAAACAUUUUGUUCCAAUAUCAUCAUUUACUAUUACAUGGAUAGAAACAAGGACAAAUUAAUCAACAUCACUGACUGGGGUGAGUUACUGGCUGCGGCCUCUGUAAGCAACUGAUCUACAAGGCAUUAUUCCAUUGACAACUCUAGGCUUCAUUCUACAGAGAAUGAAGUAUUACCUGAAUUCCAUGUUGUGGCUGAAGCAAAGGAAGGUAAUAUGGUGAGUGGCUGUAG